rnacentral:rRNA from 1 species
AGCCUCGGGAAACUGGGAGUAAUGCCUUAUAAGAUACGUUUGUCGCAUGGCAUUUGUAUUAAACGCUCCGGCGCCAUAGGAUGGACCCGCGUCCCAUUAGCUAGUUGGUGAGAUAACAGCUCACCAAGGCCACGAUGGGUAACCGGUCUGAGAGGGCGAACGGUCACACUGGAACUGAGACACGGUCCAGACUCCUACGGGAGGCAGCAGUGGGGAAUAUUGCGCAAUGGGGGCAACCCUGACGCAGCAAUACCGCGUGAGUGAAGAAGGUUUUCGGAUCGUAAAGCUCUGUUAUUGGGGAAGAAAAAAAGACGGUACCCAAGAAGAAAGUUCCGGCUAACUACGUGCCAGCAGCCGCGGUAAUACGUAGGGAACAAGCGUUGUCCGGAUUUACUGGGCGUAAAGGGCACGCAGGCGGUUUUUUAAGUCAGAUGUGAAAGGCCACAGCUCAACUGUGGACAUGCAUUUGAAACUGAAAGACUUGAGUAUUGGAGAGGCAAGUGGAAUUCCUAGUGUAGCGGUGAAAUGCGUAGAUAUUAGGAGGAACACCGGUGGCGAAGGCGGCUUGCUGGACAAAUACUGACGCUGA